rnacentral:rRNA from 1 species
AGAGUUUGAUCAUGGCUCAGGAUGAACGCUAGCUACAGGCUUAACACAUGCAAGUCGAGGGGAAACGACAUCGAAAGCUUGCUUUUGAUGGGCGUCGACCGGCGCACGGGUGAGUAACGCGUAUCCAACCUGCCCAUCACUUGGGGAUAACCUUGCGAAAGUAAGACUAAUACCCAAUGACGUCUCUAGAAGACAUCUGAAAGAGAUUAAAGAUUUAUCGGUGAUGGAUGGGGAUGCGUCUGAUUAGCUUGUUGGCGGGUAACGGCCACCAAGGCGACGAUCGAGUAGGGGUUCUGAGACGGAAGGUCCCCCANAUUGGAACUGAGACACGGUCCAAACUCCUACGGGAGCA